GGUGUUUCCACUGCUCCAGAGAAGGUGUUUCCACUGCUCCAGAGAAGGUGUUUCCACUGCUCCAGAGAAGGUGUUUCCACUGCUCCAGAGAAGGUGUUUCCACUGCUCCAGAGAAGGUGUUUCCACUGCUCCAGAGAAGGUGUUUCCACUGCUCCAGAGAAGGUGUUUCCACUGCUCCAGAGAAGGUGUUUCCACUGCUCCAGAGAAGGUGUUUCCACUGCUCCAGAGAAGGUGUUUCCACUGCUCCAGAGAAGGUGUUUCCACUGCUCCAGAGAAGGUGUUUCCACUGCUCCAGAGAAGGUGUUUCCACUGCUCCAGAGAAGGUGUUUCCACUGCUCCAGAGAAGGUGUUUCCACUGCUCCAGAGAAGGUGUUUCCACUGCUCCAGAGAAGGUGUUUCCACUGCUCCAGAGAAGGUGUUUCCACUGCUCCAGAGAAGGUGUUUCCACUGCUCCAGAGAAGGUGUUUCCACUGCUCCAGAGAAGGUGUUUCCACUGCUCCAGAGAAGGUGUUUCCAUUGCUCCAGAGAAGGUGUUUCCACUGCUCCAGAGUCCAAUGGCGGCGAGCUUUCCACCGCUCCGACGCUUGGCAUUGCGUAUGGUGAUUUUAGGCAUGUGUGUGGCUGCUCGGACAUGAAGCUCCCAACAAACAGUUCUUGUGCUGACGUUGCUUCCAGAGGCAGUUUUAUUAUUAUUAUUAAUUUAUUUCACCUUUUAGUUAACCAGGGAGGCCAGUUGAGAACAAGUUCUCAUUUACAACUGCGACCUGGCCAAGAUAAAGCAAAGCAGUGCAACAAUAACAACACAUGGGAUAAACAAACGUACAGUCAAUAACACAAUACUUCUUUUCUAUGUACAGUGUGUGCAAAUGUAGUAAGAUUAGGAAGGUAAGGCAGUAAAUAGGGAAUAGAAGCGAAAUAGUUACAAUUUAACAAACACUGGAGUGAUAGAUGUGCAAGUAGAGAUACUGGGGUGCAAAAAAAUUAUAUAUAACAAUAUGGGAAUGAGGUAGUUCGGUGGGCUAUUUACAGAUGGGCUGUGUACGGGUACAUUGGUAAGCUGCUCUGACAGCUGAUUCUUUUUUUUUAU